rnacentral:rRNA from 1 species
AUUGAACGCUGGCGGCAGGCCUAACACAUGCAAGUCGAGCGGAUGAAGGGAGCUUGCUCCUGGAUUCAGCGGCGGACGGGUGGGUAAUGCCUAGGAAUCUGCCUGGUAGUGGGGGAUAACGUCCGGAAACGGGCGCUAAUACCGCAUACGUCCUGAGGGAGAAAGUGGGGGAUCUUCGGACCUCACGCUAUCAGAUGAGCCUAGGUCGGAUUAGCUAGUUGGUGGGGUAAAGGCCUACCAAGGCGACGAUCCGUAACUGGUCUGAGAGGAUGAUCAGUCACACUGGAACUGAGACACGGUCCAGACUCCUACGGGAGGCAGCAGUGGGGAAUAUUGGACAAUGGGCGAAAGCCUGAUCCAGCCAUGCCGCGUGUGUGAAGAAGGUCUUCGGAUUGUAAAGCACUUUAAGUUGGGAGGAAGGGCAGUAAGUUAAUACCUUGCUGUUUUGACGUUACCAACAGGAUAAGCACCGGCUAACUUCGUG